CCCUUAGAUGUUCUGGGCCGCACGCGCGCUACACUGAUGCAUUCAACGAGUCUAAAACCUGCUCUGAUAGGGGUGGGUAAUCUUUUGAAUGUGCAUCGUGAUUGGGAUAGAUGAUUGCAAUUUUUCAUCUUCAACGAGGAAUGCCUAGUAAACGCAAGUCAUCAGCUUGCAUUGAUUACGUCCCUGCCCUUUGUACACACCGCCCGUCGCUCCUACCGAUUGAAUGAUCCGAUGAAUAUCAUGGAUUGAGGAUGCAAGCAGGUUCGCCUGUCUUCAUCUUCGAGAAGUGAAGUAAAUCUUAUCAUUUAGAGGAAGGAGAAGUCGUAAAA
rnacentral:rRNA from 1 species